UCGAACGAUGAUGCCCAGCUUGCUGGGUGGAUUAGUGGCGAACGGGUGAGUAACACGUGAGUAACCUGCCCUUGACUUCGGGAUAACUCCGGGAAACCGGGGCUAAUACUGGAUAUGAGCCGUCCUCGCAUGGGGGUGGUUGGAAAGUUUUUCGGUCAGGGAUGGGCUCGCGGCCUAUCAGCUUGUUGGUGGGGUGAUGGCCUACCAAGGCGACGACGGGUAGCCGGCCUGAGAGGGCGACCGGCCACACUGGGACUGAGACACGGCCCAGACUCCUACGGGAGGCAGCAGUGGGGAAUAUUGCACAAUGGGCGAAAGCCUGAUGCAGCGACGCCGCGUGAGGGAUGAAGGCCUUCGGGUUGUAAACCUCUUUCAGCAGGGAAGAAGCGCAAGUGACGGUACCUGCAGAAGAAGCGCCGGCUAACUACGUGCCAGCAGCCGCGGUAAUACGUAGGGCGCAAGCGUUGUCCGGAAUUAUUGGGCGUAAAGAGCUCGUAGGCGGUUUGUCGCGUCUGGUGUGAAAACUCGAGGCUCAACCUCGAGCUUGCAUCGGGUACGGGCAGACUAGAGUGCGGUAGGGGAGACUGGAAUUCCUGGUGUAGCGGUGGAAUGCGCAGAUAUCAGGAGGAACACCGAUGGCGAAGGCAGGUCUCUGGGCCGCAACUGACGCUGAGGAGCGAAAGCAUGGGGAGCGAACAGGAUUAGAUACCCUGGUAGUCCAUGCCGUAAACGUUGGGCACUAGGUGUGGGGCUCAUUCC
rnacentral:rRNA from 1 species